rnacentral:rRNA from 1 species
CCUACGGGAGGCAGCAGUGAGGAAUAUUGGUCAAUGGGCACACGCCUGAACCAGCCAUCCCGCGUGCAGGAUGACGGCCUUAUGGGUUGUAAACUGCUUUUUUUAGUGAAGAAUUAGUUUGACGAGUCAUACUUUGACAGUAGCUAAGGAAUAAGCAUCGGCUAACUCCGUGCCAGCAGCCGCGGUAAUACGGAGGAUGCAAGCGUUAUCCGGAUUCAUUGGGUUUAAAGGGUGCGCAGGCGGGGGAAUAAGUCAGUGGUGAAAAGCUGCCGCUCAACGGUAGUCUUGCCAAUGAUACUGUUUUUCUUGAGUAUGGUUAAGGUAGGUGGAAUGUGCAGUGUAGCGGUGAAAUGCAUAGAGAUUGCACAGAAGGCCGAUUGCGAAGGCAGCUUACUGAACCAUAACUGACGCUCAUGCACGAAAGCGUGGGGAUCAAACAGGAUUAGAUACCCUGGUAGUCCACGCUGUAAACUAUGUUCACUCGCUGUUUGCGAUAUACUGUAAGCGGCUAAGCGAAAGCAUUAAGUGAACCACCUGGGGAGUACGAUCGCAAGGUUGAAACUCAAAGGAAUUGACGGGGGCCCGCACAAGCGGAGGAACAUGUGGUUUAAUUCGAUGAUACGCGAGGAACCUUACCUGGGCUUAAAUGUAGAUUGAUUGAACCGGAAACGGUUUUUUCCUUCGGGACAAUUUACAAGGUGCUGCAUGGUUGUCGUCAGCUCGUGCCGUGAGGUGUCGGGUUAAGUCCCAUAACGAGCGC